rnacentral:rRNA from 1 species
UACGUAGGGCGCGAGCGUUGUCCGGAUUUAUUGGGCGUAAAGAGCUCGUAGGCGGCUUGUCGCGUCGUCCGUGAAAACUUGGGGCUCAACCCCAAGCUUGCGGUCGAUACGGGCAGGCUAGAGUUCGGUAGGGGAGACUGGAAUUCCUGGUGUAGCGGUGAAAUGCGCAGAUAUCAGGAGGAACACCGAUGGCGAAGGCAGGUCUCUGGGCCACUACUGACGCUGAGAAGCGAAAGCAUGGGGAGCGAACAGG